CAAUAGCGUAUAUUUAAGUUGUUGCAGUUAAAAGCUCGUAGUUGGAUUUUGGGUCGGGGGCACCGGUCCGCCGUUCCGGUGUGCACUGGUGGCCCCUUCCUUUCUGCCGGGGACGUGCGUCGCACUUAAUUGGGUGGCGUUCGGAGUCGGCGUUGUUACUUUGAAAAAAUUAGAGUGUUCAAAGCAAGCCAUCGCUCUGAAUACAUUAGCAUGGAAUAACAUGAUAGGACUCCGGUCUUAUUUUGUUGGUUUCCGAGACUGGAGUAAUGAUUAAGAGGGACAGUCGGGGGCAUCCGUAUUUCAUUGUCAGAGGUGAAAUUCUUGGAUUUAUGAAAGACGAACUUCUGCGAAAGCAUUUGCCAAGGAUGUUUNCAUUAA
rnacentral:rRNA from 1 species